rnacentral:rRNA from 1 species
AUUGAACGCUGGCGGCAGGCCUAACACAUGCAAGUCGAACGAGUGGCGGACGGGUGAGUAAUGUCUGGGAAACUGCCCGAUGGAGGGGGAUAACUACUGGAAACGGUAGCUAAUACCGCAUACCAUCGGAUGUGCCCAGAUGGGAUUAGCUAGUUGGUGGGGUAACGGCUCACCUAGGCGACGAUCUCUAGCUGGUCUGAGAGGAUGACCAGCAACACUGGGACUGAGACACGGCCCAGACUCCUACGGGAGGCAGCAGUGGGGAAUAUUGCACAAUGGGCGCAAGCCUGAUGCAGCCAUGCCGCGUGUAUGAAGAAGGCCUUCGGGUUGUAAAGUACUUUCAGCGGGGAGGCGUUACCCGCAGAAGAAGCACCGGCUAACUCCGUGCCAGCAGCCGCGGUAAUAC